UUUUCCUUGUUGUUUCAGACAGGAAGGCACUUCUCAUGCCUGUGACUGUUUUGGUGACAAUGGAAGUCCCCUCCACUUCCAGGUUUUCGGCCCUCUCUGGCCCUUGGUAGAAGUGACUUCAGUUUCCCCUGGAUGGGCAUCAGUGACUCCCGAUGGUAAAAGCGCUCUGCCUGUAAUGAGCCUCCAAGCUUUACCCUGGAGCCUGGGGGCCCGAGGAAGAAACCGAGGCAUCGCCUGGGGGUAAAACAAGAAGCAGCUAGAGGAUUCAGUAGUCAGCCAACACUGGAGAGGUGACUGGCCCAAGGUCACCUGAUGAGUUUUCUGGGCUUGAAAGGAGAUCUAAAGCUGCUGGUUACAGAGUCACUACUUUCUGAUGCCUCCAUCAAUAAAAUGCCUGCCACACAGUUGCUCCAGAAUGAGACCAGGAGGGGACCCAUCCUGUGGUUAAUGUGACUGUGAUCUAAUCAUCUGGCCACUCCCACCUCCACCUCCUUCCCCAAUCCAGAGCUCAAGAAUGUGGCAGAAGUGAUGUGUCAUUUGAGCACCUCUCCAUUCUUGAACUCGUGGAACCCUGUUAUGGAUACGUGAUUCAGUCUGGCUGAGCCUCCUGGAGGAAGACCAUGAUGAGAGACCCCGCCUGUCCCUGCCUUGGCCUUUCUGGACCAAGUACCACAGCAGACCUUUCAGCUGAUUUUAGAUGUAGGAGUUAGCCCAGCUGAGAUCAGCCAAGCUCAACCCAGACCAGAAUGACCUCCCUGACCUUUAGAAUUGUGAGCUAACUUUUGGAAUCCUAACAAACUCACCCAAAGUCCUGGCAAAUCCCCUCUGGGAGACAGUAUCAUGACUACAUCAGAUGGCCAGAAAUAUUAACUAGAAAUGUUCGUAAUCAUUAGCUAGAAAUGUUCACAAACUACAGUGUGCUCAGGUCAGGGUAGGGAGAAAGGCUUUGAGGACCUGCUGGAUGAAAAGUAAAGGACUUUAGCAGGAACAUGAGUUCUGCCUCCAGAGAGUUCUACAUCAGAGAAAUGGGACAAAGAAUUUGUAGCUUCUGUGGUGGAUUAAAUAAUUGGCUACAA